rnacentral:rRNA from 1 species
GGUGCUGCAUGGCCGUCGUCAGCUCGUGUCGUGAGAUGUUUGGUUAAGUCCAGCAACGAGCGCAACCCCUGUUGCCAGUUACCAGCACGUGAAGGUGGGGACUCUGGCGAGACUGCCCAGAUCAACUGGGAGGAAGGUGGGGACGACGUCAGGUCAGUAUGGCCCUUAUGCCCAGGGCUGCACACGUACUACAAUGCCCAGUACAGAGGGGGCCGAAGCCGCGAGGCGGAGGAAAUCCUAAAAACUGGGCCCAGUUCGGACUGUAGGCUGCAACCCGCCUACACGAAGCCGGAAUCGCUAGUAAUGGCGCAUCAGCUACGGCGCCGUGAAUACGUUCCCGGGUCUUGUACACACCGCCCGUCACAUCAUGGAAGCCGGUCGCACCCGAAGUAUCUGAAGCCAACCGCAAGGAGGCAGGGUCCUAAGGUGAGACUGGUAACUGGGAUGAAGUCGUAACAAGGUAGCCGUAGGGGAACCUGCGGCUGGAUCACCUC